rnacentral:rRNA from 1 species
CUAGUCUAACCUUCGGGAGGGCGGUCGCCACGGUGUGGUUCAUGACUGGGGUGAAGUCGUAACAAGGUAGCUGUAGGUGAACCUGCAGGAGGAUCA